rnacentral:rRNA from 1 species
UACGAAGGGGGGCUAGCGUUGUUCGGAAUCACUGGGCGUAAAGGGCGCGUAGGCGGCCGAUCAAGUCGGGGGUGAAAGCCUGUGGCUCAACCACAGAAUUGCCUUCGAUACUGUUUGGCUUGAGACCGGAAGAGGUUAGUGGAACUGCGAGUGUAGAGGCGAAAUUCGAUAGAUAUUCGCAAGAACACCAGUGGCGAAGGCGGCUGACUGGUCCGGUUCUGACGCUGAGGCGCGAAAGCGUGGGGAGCAAACAGG